rnacentral:rRNA from 1 species
UGGUGUGAGAGCACGACCAGUCACACGGGCACUGAGACACGGGCCCGACUCUACGGGAGGCAGCAGUAAGGAAUAUUGGUCAAUGGACGCAAGUCUGAACCAGCCAUGCUGCGUGGAGGAUGAAGGCCCUCUGGGUUGUAAACUUCUUUUAUUUGGGAAGAAACCCAUCCUUUCUAGGGUGGCUGACGGUACCAGAUGAAUAAGCACCGGCUAACUCCGUGCCAGCAGCCGCGGUAAUACGGAGGGUGCAAGCGUUAUCCGGAUUCACUGGGUUUAAAGGGUGCGUAGGUGGGCAGGUAAGUCAGUGGUGAAAUCUCUAAGCUUAACUUAGAAACUGCCGUUGAUACUAUCUGUCUUGAAUAUCGUGGAGGUGAGCGGAAUAUGUCAUGUAGCGGUGAAAUGCUUAGAUAUGACAUAGAACACCAAUUGCGAAGGCAGCUCGCUACACGGUUAUUGACACUGAGGCACGAAAGCGUGGGGAUCAAACAGGAUUAGAUACCCUGGUAGUCCACGCCCUAAUUCGAUGGAUACUCGACAUGUACGAUACACAGUAUGUGUCUGAG